AGCAGGAGCAGACAGGUGUACUCCGGAGCUGGGCUUCAAUCCUGGGCGACGUUUAGCUUGUUUUUAUUCUGUAUUUUUAGCAUCGCUUGCUUUAUAGGUUCCUUCAGUGGAGUUGGAUCAUAAACCCUUCGGUCCCUCCUCUGCCAUGGUACAGUCAUUAAACGUGCUUAUCUCUGUCCAUUGCCGCGGGGAGGGUGUUAUUGGUGGAUUAUUAUCUCGUUCCUGGAAGCUGCGUUCACCUGUUUUACCUUCACAUUAUCUGCUUGCUGCACAGAAACCUUCUCCGGAGUCUUGUGCUCUCAGUAGCCCAGG